rnacentral:rRNA from 1 species
ACCGGCAAACGGGUGCGGAACACGUACAGAACCUUCCUUCGAGCGGGGAAUAGCCCAGAGAAAUUUGGAUUAAUACCCCAUAGUAUAUUGAAGAGGCAUCUCUUUAAUAUUAAAGAUUUAUCACUUGAAGAUGGCUGUGCGGCUGAUUAGGUAGUUGGCGGGGUAACGGCCCACCAAGCCUGCGAUCAGUAACUGGUGUGAGAGCACGACCAGUCACACGGGCACUGAGACACGGGCCCGACUCCUACGGGAGGCAGCAGUAAGGAAUAUUGGUCAAUGGACGCAAGUCUGAACCAGCCAUGCCGCGUGGAGGAUGAAGGUCCUCUGGAUUGUAAACUUCUUUUAUCUGGGACGAAAAAGGGUCUUUCUAGAUCAACUGACGGUACCAGAUGAAUAAGCACCGGCUAACUCCGUGCCAGCAGCCGCGGUAAUACGGAGGGUGCAAGCGUUAUCCGGAUUCACUGGGUUUAAAGGGUGCGUAGGUGGGUUGGUAAGUCAGUGGUGAAAUCCCCGAGCUUAACUUGGGAACUGCCAUUGAUACUAUCAGUCUUGAAUAUUGUGGAGGUUAGCGGAAUAUGUCAUGUAGCGGCGAAAUGCUUAGAUAUGACAUAGAACACCAAUUGCGAAGGCAGCUGGCUACGCAUAUAUUGACACUGAGGCACGAAAGCGUGGGGGAUCAAACAGGAUUAGAUACCCUGGUAGUCCACGCCCU